CGCCAGGGUAUUACGAGCUUUAGCUUAAAACCCAAAGGACUUGACGGUGUCCCACCCACCUAGAGGAGCCUGUUCUAUAAUCGAUACCCCCCGCUUUACCCUACCACUUUUAGCUUAUCAGCCUGUAUACCUCCGUCGUAAGUUUACCGUGUGAACGUCUGCAGUAAGCUUAAUGGCUUUUUUCACCAGUACGUCAGGUCAAGGUGCAGCCCAUAAAGUGGCAAGCAAUGGGCUACAAUUUCUAACUUAGAACAUACGGAUAAACUGCAAUGAAACAGUUUAGAAGGAGGAUUUAGUAGUAAAAAGGAAGUAUGAGUGUCCUUUUUAAUCUGGCACUGGGACGCGU
rnacentral:rRNA from 1 species